UUUUAGCAGUGAGGAAUAUUGGUCAAUAGCCUAACGGCUGAACCAGCAACUUGGAGGAAUGUAUAGCAAUAGCUACUUGCAUCAUUGUACAGAUGAUGCAAGAUCGACUAUGUCGAAUAAAAUUCUAGGUAGAAUUAUGAUAAUGACAUUGUCUGCCUAUGUGUCUUGACCAAAUUACGUGCCAGCAGUCGCGGUAAUACGUAGAAGACUAGUGUUAUUCAUGUUUAAUCGGUUUAAAGGGUACCUAGACGGUAAAUCAAGCCUAAAGUAAUAAAAAGGGACUAAUUUACUAGAGUUACUUAUGAGGGGGCUAUAAUGUACUGCUGGUGUAGAGAUGAAAUUCUGUUAUACCUCCAAAAAGAUGGCACAGGCAUAGGCGAAAGCAUCUCCUUAUGUGAUAACUGACGUUGAGGGACGAAGGCUUAGUGUAGCGAACAGGAUUAGAUACCCCAGUAGUCUAAGCAGAAAAUGAUGAAUGUCAUAGAUUAGAUAAAUAAGUUUAUUCUAUAAAUGAAAGUGUAAGCAUUCCACCUCAAGAGUAAUUUGGCAACAUUGGAACUGAAAUCAUUAGACCGUUUCUGAAACCAGUAGUGAAGUAUGUUGUUUAAUUUGAUGACCCGCAAAAAACCUUACCACAAUUUGAAUAUUUAUAUCUUUUAUUGUUUUUAUUUUUAAUCUUCUUAUUUUUUUUCUUGUUCUGACAACAUUAAUUAAAGAAGAAAAAGAAAAAGAGGCAAUAAGAUAUCUUUACAAAGCGUUGCACGGNUGUCUUCAGUUAAUGUCGCGAGACUCUGGUUAGUUCCAUUAAAUUAACGUAAACCCUUACUUUAUUUUUAGAUAGAGUAGUUCCCCGCUAUAUUGGAUAUGAUAACAGGGACUAGGACAAGUCAUCAUGGCCUAAAUAUUGGGGGGCUAUAGACGUGCCCCAUAAAAG
rnacentral:rRNA from 1 species